CCACCUAAGAAAUCUACUCUCCAUCCUAUUUAUUCUUGAAAUUCUCUCAAUUUUACCAAAAAUAACUUUCCAAAUCCACAAAACCAACUGAUUUUUAACCCUUCUGUUUUAUUAAGAACAAAGAAAUUAAAUUUAUAGGUAAAUUAUACUUUUGGUCCUCAAAGUAUAAGACGCAUGAUAUUUUAGUUCUUAAACUUUAAUUUAAUAUAAUUUAUGGCUCAAACUUUAUAACUUAUUAUAAUUAAGUCUCGCAACUCAUUUUAUUUGGCUAAAUAUUUAUAAAUCACUAAUUGGAGAUGAUGUAGCCUUUUAAUUAUUUUUUUUGAGAGAAAGGUAGCUACCCGCUUCGUUUACUUCAUUUAUAAAUAAAAUAAACUGGAAAUGUGAAUCAGCUAGGAUUCGAACUUGGGUCUUGAGUACCAACUAGCUUUUUAAUUAUUAUCACAUCAUCUGUCGCAAAACUGCUAUAUCACUUUCACAUCAGCGACACAUUAUUUAUUAGCCAGCUAAUUAGUCUGUAUGACUUGAUUACAAUAAUUCAAAAAAUUCGAGCUAAAAAUUAUAAUAAAUUAAAAUUUAAGAGCUAAAAUAUUAUGUGCCUCAUAGUUUGAGGGCCAAAAGCAAACCUUAUCCAAAUUUACACUAAAUCAAUUAACUGUUCCACUCCAAAACAAUAGCUGUCAAUAUCACCACCCAUCCUUAAGAUGUUCGCAGAUUACUCAUGACUAUCAUAGUAAAACCUGGACCAAAAUAUUUUUAUUUUACUUUUAAUCUGGGAUGAUAGUUAGUUUUUAUUUUUCAUAUUUAUCGUAAUUUAAUAUGCGUUGUUAAAUCUUAAUUUGCACCGUUUCGCUUCGUUUAUUUUUUUAAAAAAAUAAAUUUAGUUGAAAAUAUAAAUUAAUUAAAAUUUUUAAUUAUUAAAUUUUUUUUCACUUGCGUCAGAAAUGGUAAGUAAUUUGCAAUGUUACGGACAAUUAAAAAAAAGGGCGAUUUGGCACCGUCCACGGGCGCGAUCACGGGUUGUUGCGUCGGUCUCACCGAUCUGACCCUCCACUUUCCGCUAACCCGAAACGCGCACACACAUACAUAUGCUUCCGUUAUUUUAAUCACUUUAUUGAUUGAUAAUAACAAUAAUAAUUAAUAUUUAAUUUAAUUAACAUUUUAUUUAAAAAAUUGAAUUAAAUUAAAUUUUACUACAUUAUUAUUAGUGUACAAUAAUUUACUACUGUGACGAGUUUCCGUGUUGGUUUCGCACAUGGAAGCGGACUCUGUAUGUCCUAUUAUAUGAUUGAGCAUCGUCGGCUUCUCGGAAUCAGUGGCCAUCCAUGGCCCAACCGGUGGAUCAGAACGGGCCGAGGUGGGCCACGUGGCUCGCCACCAUUUGCGGGCUGGUUACUCCCAGCACCCGGUGUAUCCGUACUAGCUAUGCACCGGUGGCACAUUUCAAGAUAAAAAUGUUUAGGUAGAUAUAAUUUAUUGUAUUUUAAGAAUCUAUGUAUGAAAAAACCAAAAAAAAAAUUUUUUUUUCGAAAUUUAUAAUUUUCAAUAUAUUGAAUUUUUCAAUGUUGUAAUGUGGUUCAUGAUAUGUACGGCACCGGGAGUAGGGAAUAGUGUGUCGGAUUAAGGAGCUCAGAAUUUUCCCGAAAAUAGUAAAUAAUAAAGUAAAAAAAAAAAAAAGCCUUAGCUAGUUGAGGCUGCUUCUUCUUCUUCUCAAUCCUCUUCUUCCCCUUUUGAGGGUUCUUCUUCUUCUUCUUCUUCUUCUUCUUCUCCUGAGAUUGGAGUGGGAAAAAGGAAAAUUUCCCAAAUCAAAUCUCACAGUUCGUGGUGGAGAUCGCUUGCUUUGAUCUCCAGCUCGUAGUGUCUCUUGUGGGAUUUCUCUUUGGCUUAGAUAGGAACAUAGAGUUUGAUUUGUGGCGCUACUAACUCAAGGUAUGCUUCACAAUCUUGGAUCUUUUUUGAUCUGUUGAUGUAGUUUUUGUGCGAUCCAUGGUGUUUUCGAGCUCAAAAUUGCUUUUUGAUGGGUUUGUGCGGAGUAAUAUGAUCAAUCGGAGAUGCGAGAGAGGUAAAAAUAGGGUUGGGUUGGGUUGGGUUGGGUUGGGUUGGGUUUGGUUUGACUCAGUUAGUGGGGACUGCUGCUUAGAUUAGAUCUUUUUGUUUAUAACCUGUAUCGUUUUGUUUCCUAUGAUUCAGUGAUUAGAGUGGUAGAUAUCUACAUGUUCCUCUUUUACUUCCUUCUUUUAUUGAUAAAUGAGUAAAGUGCCUUGUAGAUCAAGCAUUAAAGAGGCAAUUUCAAAUGGUAUGGGUUCCAAAUUAAAUACUAAUGUAGUGCAAAGGAUUACUAAUGUAGUGCAUAAGAUUAUACUUGCUAAAAGGUCCCUUUCCCCCAUGGAUUUAGUUCAAUUAGUCACAUGUUGAUCAUUGAUCUUAUUGCAGGUUGAUUGGAGUUUGUGAUACUUGUGGGCGCUACUUGGCGCCCAAGAUCAAAUCUAAUAGGCUAGGCUGAAAAAGCUAACUCUCCUGAACUUCUGGUCUAACUCUGGGAAGAUUUUGGGAUAACUAAGACAUAUAUAUUUCUGGUAGAAGAAGAAUAAGAAAUGUAAUUUACUGUACAAGAAAAUUCUAUUUGAUGCAGUGUGGCAGAGCCUUUUCAGUUGACCUUCUAAGGUUUCUGUUGUCUGUGAGGAGCUUUGGAAGUUUGUGGUGCUGAUAAAGAAGCCGUGAUAUUGAGCUUUCCUGAAGUACAAAAUAUUUUUGCUCUUCUUGAUUUCCUUUGAGAUCAUGGAUGGUUGACCUCAAAAUGUUUGAAUUGGCGGAUGAUCCUUAGUUCUUUGGGCAAUCAAAUACCCUGCGCCACUCUCUGCUUAUUUACUGGAAUAUCGCCUUGUAUUAUCGUUUCUCCAGUGAAAUAGUGAAGAAAUGGAAACUUUUACGGCUCCUGUCGCUGCAAAGCCUUAUCUUUUCCCUUCUCUUGGACCCGCCCUAAUGAUCUCUAUGGGGUAUAUCGACCUUGGGAAGUGGGUGGCAGCUGUCGAUGGUGGGGUGCGUUUUGGAUAUGAUCUUGUGCUACCAGUGCUCUUUUUCAACUUCACUGCAAUUUUGUGCCAGUACCUCGCAACUU
rnacentral:lncRNA from 1 species